rnacentral:rRNA from 1 species
CAGCCGCCGCGGGAAUACGUAGGGUGCGAGCGUUAAUCGGAAUUACUGGGCGUAAGGCGUGCGCAGGCGGUUCGUUAAGACAGAUGUGAAAUCCCCGGGCUUAACCUGGGAACUGCAUUUGUGACUGGCGAGCUAGAGUAUGGCAGAGGGGGGUAGAAUUCCACGUGUAGCAGUGAAAUGCGUAGAGAUGUGGAGGAAUACCGAUGGCGAAGGCAGCCCCCUGGGCCAAUACUGACGCUCAUGCACGAAAGCGUGGGGAGCAAACAGGAUUAGAUACCCCAGUAGUCCCUGUCUCUUAUAC